ensembl:lncRNA
GAGAAAUGCAAAAACUAUUCCUGUAGUAAGCGUGUCAGCAAUCCAAGCAAUGGGAGCAUUUAUUUGCCUGCUGGAAAUACAGAGCCAUGCAGUACACUGCUAGAGAGAAGUGCUACAACAAUCAACUUUCAGAAAUGCUUGGAGAAUGCUUUACUGAAUGAGGAGUGUAGGACUGAAUAAGUUCCUUCUAGUCACUGGGAAAAUGGAGCACAUCAUAUACAAAAGGUUAUUUCUAUGUUAUUGCUGUGUUGCUAAUGCUUUCUAGAUUUCAGUGUCUGACAUCAUAUUGUAAGACUGCCUUUCGUACGGAGAAGAAAAUGAGGUUAAAACAUUAUCAAAAAUGUUUAGUGACAAAGAUCUCAGUGAUGGCAAUUUGUCCAGAAAAUGGAAGUGUAUGGUUGUUAACUGCUACGUGAAAUUCUGAGGGUAAGAACUUAAAAACUACCAUGAAAGGGUUCAGCUGAUCGCUUUCUGUGAUAACUAGUGGGUGCUAAGUAUUCCCCCAAGGCUUCUUGGGUCAGCAGCUUCUCUGGCAAGUGCAAGUUUGUGCUCAUGAUAUGAAUGCUGUGGUGUGUGAUUGCUCUUCUGUGGUAUUCAUGGAGCUGCUGCCGGAGUCACGCAGUUUGCCACUGUUACUGCUACCUCUCCGUGUAGCAGAAAGAAUACCUUACUCAAAAUGAGCUAACUGUCAUUACAUCAUUGUUUUCAUGAACCACUGAUGAGAGCAGUACAGUUUGGACCAGUAACAAAUCAGCUUUUAUCAGGAGGAUACGCUAGGUGAGCUCUCGGACAGAUCCCAUAUAAGGGAUUCUGAAAAGAUAGCAAAGAACUCAGCAGCUUCAUUCCAGCAACGUAAAUCAUCAGGAAUAUGGACUUACUGCCUUUCAAUUUGUUUCCAAUGUCAGAUGAACUGGUAGAGGAAGGGCAAGCUUGGAAGAGAUUUGUUUUCAAGUGGAAGACUCCUUGCUGACAGGCCAGAGCGAUUUUAUUCUAGGAAUUUAUUCAUUUACUUAUUUUAUGUCAGUCCAAACUAGAUUUUGUGAGUCCCAAACUAAAAUCUUCCCAGUCCACAUGUACAUACCCAUCUCCACAUUUGAAAAGGACAGUUCUGUGUGCUCUGAAAAAAGCAUUUUUUAUUUUCAUGUAAUGUUACUAGUUUUUAGGCGUGAUCUUUUUUAGUGCUGAACACCACUUGCAAAAUAGAAUUCAUAUUUAAUACCAAGGUGACUCGUUUUAUACAUGCUACUUUACAUGAAAAAAAGAGACUGUGUUGCUGAGGUGUGUGGAUAUCUUUUGUUAA